rnacentral:rRNA from 1 species
CCUACGGGAGGCAGCAGUGAGGAAUAUUGGUCAAUGGGCUUACGCCUGAACCAGCCAAGUCGCGUGAGGGAAGACUGCCCUAUGGGUUGUAAACUUCUUUUGUCAGGGAGCAACGCCGGCUACGUGUAGCCGUACUGAGAGUACCUGAAGAAAAAGCAUCGGCUAACUCCGUGCCAGCAGCCGCGGUAAUACGGAGGAUGCGAGCGUUAUCCGGUUUUAUUGGUUUAAAGGGGUGCGUAGGCGGAAUGCCAAGUCAGCGGGAAAAUCGCGGGGCUAAACCUCGCUCUGCCGUUGAAACUGGCGUUCUUGAGUGGACGAGAAGUAUGCGGAAUGCGUGGUGUAGCGGUGAAAUGCAUAGAUAUCACGCAGAACUCCGAUUGCGAAGGCAGCAUACCGGCGCCCAACUGACGCUGAGGCACGAAAGCGUGGGUAUCGAACAGGAUUAGAUACCCUAGUAGUC